UCACCCAGCUCGCGCGCGCGCAACGAGCGGUCUACCAGCGCCAUCGACAUGGUCUUGCGUUCGCUCUGCCCGAAGGCGAGGCCAUAACCACGCGUGAAGCACGGCGCUUGCGCAGCCGAGCCUUUGAACUGAUUGACCAUCUGACAUUCGGUCAGCGUGAUUGACCCGAGCGGCACCGCGAAGCCCGCGUCUUCCGCGACGAAUUCGACCUCGACUUCNNNNNNAUUUCGCCCGCGAAGGGGUGCGUCCGGCCAAAGCCGCGCUGGGUCGAAUAGCCCAACGCCA
rnacentral:misc_RNA from 1 species